AACGAACGCUGGCGGCAUGCCUAACACAUGCAAGUCGAACGAGAUCUUCGGGUCUAGUGGCGCACGGGUGCGUAACGCGUGGGAAUCUGCCCUUUGGUUCGGAAUAACAGUUGGAAACGACUGCUAAUACCGGAUGAUGGCGAAAGUCCAAAGAUUUAUCGCCAGAGGAUGAGCCCGCGUAGGAUUAGCUAGUUGGUGUGGUAACGGCGCACCAAGGCGACGAUCCUUAGCUGGUCUGAGAGGAUGAUCAGCCACACUGGGACUGAGACACGGCCCAGACUCCUACGGGAGGCAGCAGUGGGGAAUAUUGGACAAUGGGCGAAAGCCUGAUCCAGCAAUGCCGCGUGAGUGAUGAAGGCCUUAGGGUUGUAAAGCUCUUUUACCCGGGAUGAUAAUGACAGUACCGGGAGAAUAAGCUCCGGCUAACUCCGUGCCAGCAGCCGCGGUAA
rnacentral:rRNA from 1 species